rnacentral:snRNA from 1 species
AACUUUGCGCAGUGGCGAUACCGUAGCCAAUGAAGUUUAUCUGAGGCACGGAUUUUGCG